GCUCAGUUAGUUAAGCGUCUGACUCUUGAUUUCAGCUCAGGUCAUCAUCUCACAGUAGUAGGAUCGAGUCCCACAUUGAGCU
rnacentral:tRNA from 1 species